UUAAAAAUGUUAUAAAAUUGAAAGGUUAAACAAUAAAAAGACAACUUUUAUAUUCUUGGGUAAUCAUAUAUAUGAAAGGAGCUCAACUCUCUCCAUUUGCUUGACACGUCAGCAAUAGAGGUAAAGACACGUGUACAAGUUAAAUAUUCAGUUAAAUUAUUAUGUGGGGAGAAUCGUGUGUUUAACAUUAAUGUUUUUCAGUUUCGCUACCCUCUUCAUCUUCCUAUCU
rnacentral:sRNA from 1 species